CUUCAUGUAUCCGAGUUGCAGACUACAAUCCGAACUGAGACGUUAUUUUUGAGAUUUGCUCCACUUCACAGUUUCGCCUCUCUUUGUUUACGCCAUUGUAGCACGUGUGUAGCCCAAAUCAUAAGGGGCAUGAUGAUUUGACGUCAUCCCCACCUUCCUCCAGGUUAUCCCUGGCAGUCUCUCUAGAGUGCCCACCUUAAAUGCUGGCUACUAAAGACAAGGGUUGCGCUCGUUGCGGGACUUAACCCAACAUCUCACGACACGAGCUGACGACAACCAUGCACCACCUGUCUCUUCUGUCCCGAAGGGCUACAGGCAUUACCCUGUAUUCAGAAGGAUGUCAAGACUUGGUAAGGGUCUUCCCGUUGCUUCCAAUUAAACCACAU
rnacentral:rRNA from 1 species